rnacentral:rRNA from 1 species
UACAGAGGUCCCAAGCGUUGUUCGGAUUCACUGGGCGUAAAGGGUGCGUAGGUGGCUUGGUAAGUUUGAUGUGAAAUCUCCGGGCUUAACCCGGAAAUGGCAUUGAAUACUAUUGAGCUGGAGGUUUGGAGGGGGGACUGGAAUUCUCGGUGUAGCAGUGAAAUGCGUAGAUAUCGAGAGGAACACCAGUGGCGAAGGCGAGUCCCUGGACAACACUGACACUGAGGCACAAAAGCGUGGGGAGCAAACAGG